ACACGCUGGCGGCGUGCCUAAUACAUGCAAGUCGAACGGUCUUUCUAUGGAAGCUUGCUUCCACUGAGAAGAUAGUGGCGAACGGGUGAGUAACACGUGGGUAACCUGCCCAUAAGAGGGGGAUAACAUCCGGAAACGGGUGCUAAUACCGCAUAGUUUUCUUGAUCGCAUGAUCGGGAAAGGAAAGACGGCCUUUGUGCUGUCGCUUAUGGAUGGACCCGCGGCGUAUUAGUUAGUUGGUGAGGUAACGGCUCACCAAGACGAUGAUACGUAGCCGACCUGAGAGGGUGAUCGGCCACAUUGGGACUGAGACACGGCCCAAACUCCUACGGGAGGCAGCAGUAGGGAAUCUUCCGCAAUGGACGAAAGUCUGACGGAGCAACGCCGCGUGAGUGAAGAAAAGGUUUUCGGAUCGUAAAACUCUGUUGUCAGAGAAGAACAAGUUGGAGAGUAACUGCUCCAGCCUUGACGGUAUCUGACCAGAAAGCCACGGCUAACUACGUGCCAGCAGCGGC
rnacentral:rRNA from 1 species